CGACGCAACGCGCAGAACCUUACCUGGGUUAAAUCCACCAGAAGCUGGCAGAGAGUGCCGGGGUGCCCUUCGGGAGCUGGUGAGAAGGUGCUGCAUGGCUGUCGUCAGCUCGUGUCGUGAGAUGUUGGGUUAAGUCCCGCAACGAGCGCAACCCUUGUCAUUAGUUGCCAUCAUUUGGUUGGGCACUCUAAUGAGGCUGCCGGUGACAAACCGGAGGAAGGUGGGGAUGACGUCAAGUCCUCAUGGCCCUUAUGGGUAGGGCUUCACACGUCAUACAAUGGUCGGUACAGAGGGUUGCCAACCCGCGAGGGGGAGCUAAUCCCACAAAGCCGAUCGUAGUCCGGAUCGCAGUCUGCAACUCGACUGCGUGAAGUCGGAAUCGCUAGUAAUCGUGGAUCAGCAUGUCACGGUGAAUACGUUCCCGGGUCUU
rnacentral:rRNA from 1 species